rnacentral:lncRNA from 1 species
AUUAUGACAUUUCAAUAACAUGUAUUAUGGAAACAAAAUUGUAUUCAGCUUUGACUGCACAAAAAAAACCCAUUAAUUCUAAUACAUUUAGAAAUAUGAAAAGACAAAAUAUCAAUACUCAUAUGUCCCUUGCUGCUACGUAUAACAAGGAAAACGCAUUUAUGCUCCCCAUCAAAUCACUGAUUUCAACAAAAGUAAUUUUUACACAACAGC